UACAGAGGUCCCAAGCGUUACUGAGAAUCACUGGGUUUAAAGGGUGCGUAGGUGGUCCGUUAAGUCAGUUGUGAAAUCCCGGGCUCAACUCGGGAACUGCUUCUGAUACUGGCGGACUUGAGGCCAGUAGGGGUCACUAGAACUGACGGUGGAGCGGUGAAAAUGCGUAGAUAUCGUCAGGAAUGCCGGUGGUGAAGACGGGUGACUGGGCUGGUUCUGACAUGAGGCACGAAAAGCGUGGGGGAGCGAACGGGG
rnacentral:rRNA from 1 species